rnacentral:misc_RNA from 1 species
CCGUGUUGCUGUGACCGGGCCACCGGUCUCACACACCCACUGUGUAUACCUCUGGUUGCUUCGGCGGGCCGCCGGGCCCCGUCCUGGCCGCCGCCCCCGGGCGGUGCGCGCCCGCCGGAAGACUGCGAAACCCUGAUUUUUUAGCGGUGUCGUCUGAGCAAUCUUGAUAAUAAAACA